AAUAGAUACCCAGGUAGUCCACCCCGUAAACGUUGGAACUAGUUGUGGGUCCAUUCCACGGAUUCCGUGACGCAGCUAACGCAUUAAGUUCCCCGCCUGGGGAGUACGGCCGCAAGGCUAAAACUCAAAGGAAUUGACGGGGACCCGCACAAGCGGCGGAGCAUGCGGAUUAAUUCGAUGCAACGCGAAGAACCUUACCAAGGCUUGACAUAUACGAGAACGGGCCAGAAAUGGUCAACUCUUUGGACACUCGUGAACAGGUGGUGCAUGGUUGUCGUCAGCUCGUGUCGUGAGAUGUUGGGUUAAGUCCCGCAACGAGCGCAACCCUCGUUCUAUGUUGCCAGCACGUAAUGGUGGGAACUCAUGGGAUACUGCCGGGGUCAACUCGGAGGAAGGUGGGGAUGACGUCAAAUCAUCAUGCCCCUUAUGUCUUGGGCUUCACGCAUGCUACAAUGGCCGGUACAAAGGGCUGCGAUACCGCGAGGUGGAGCGAAUCCCAAAAAGCCGGUCCCAGUUCGGAUUGAGGUCUGCAACUCGA
rnacentral:rRNA from 1 species